GACGAACGCUGGCGGCGUGCUUAACACAUGCAAGUCGAACGCUGAAGCUUGGUGCUUGCACUGGGUGGAUGAGUGGCGAACGGGUGAGUAAUAAGUGAGUAACCUGCCCUUGACUCUGGGAUAAGCCUGGGAAACUGGUUCUAAUACUGGAUACGACAUGUCACCGCAUGGUGGUGUGUGGAAAGGGUUUUACUGGUUUUGGAUGGGCUCACGGCCUAUCAGCUUGUUGGUGGGGUAAUGGCUCACCAAGGCGACGACGGGUAGCCGGCCUGAGAGGGUGACCGGCCACACUGGGACUGAGACACGGCCCAGACUCCUACGGGAGGCAGCAGUGGGGAAUAUUGCACAAUGGGCGGAAGCCUGAUGCAGCGACGCCGCGUGAGGGAUGACGGCCUUCGGGUUGUAAACCUCUUUCAGCACGGAAGAAGCGAAAGUGACGGUACGUGCAGAAGAAGCGCCGGCUAACUACGUG
rnacentral:rRNA from 1 species